GGGGUCCUGGGCAGCCCUUAAAUACCGUCAAGCGGGCGCACACGGUCUCUUUCCCUGCCGCCGCGGAGUUGCGCGGAGGCGGAGGCUUGGGUGCGUUCAAGAUUCGGCUCCACCCAUAACCCACCGCCAUGGCCGAGGAAGGCAUUGCUGCUGGAGGUGUAAUGGACGUUAAUACUGCUUUGCAAGAGGUGCUGAAGACCGCCCUCAUCCACGAUGGCCUCGCGCGCGGAAUUCGCGAAGCUGCCAAAGCCUUAGACAAGCGCCAAGCCCACCUUUGUGUACUUGCAUCCAACUGUGAUGAGCCUAUGUACGUCAAGUUGGUGGAGGCUCUUUGUGCUGAACACCAAAUCAACUUAAUUAAGCUUAAUGCUUCCUACAGAUAUGAAAAUCAUCCCAUACACUUGAUGUUGGCUAUGUCAAAGGUGGUUAUAGAAGCAACUAUUCUUCCUGCAGUACUAAAUGCUAAUUUUGAUGUUGGUAUGGAACAAACCAAUGCCUGUAAUGAUCUUGGUGCUGUACAUGAUGACAACUGGCUCCCUCUACUGAAUUGGUUGACGACAACAAGAAACUUGGGGAAUGGGUAGGCCUCUGUAAAAUCGACAGAGAGGGAAAACCCCGUAAAGUGGUUGGUUGCAGUUGCGUGGUGGUUAAGGACUAUGGCAAAGAGUCUCAGGCAAAGGAUGUCAUCGAGGAAUACUUCAAAUGCAAGAAAUGAACAAAUAAACUUGGCUUUUGUU